rnacentral:lncRNA from 1 species
GUGGAUGAAGUGGGAGGUUAUUCUCACUAAUGAUUUGGGAAACAAAAACAGCAGCUACCCAAGGAUUGGAUGAAAGAUGCUUUUCAUUUUUGUGUAAGUUCCAUUGCUGAUGUAACAGCUUCCUUUUUGGUCAACAGGAAAGGACUAGUAGAGCUGUGAUCAGCAUAGCUUACCAACUAUAACACUAGGGUUACUUAAAGGGGAAUAUACACUCACCAACAGGUUACGUUCUUACUUGUAAUACUUCCUAGCAACAAUAAUAGAAGCUCAGCAGGAAAAAAAAGUUUAGCUUAAUGACAACCAUCUUUGGCAGAAUCUUGGGAGCCAAAUUGGGUCUGAACCUCUGUGAAUGGAAAGCUGAACAUAAGAGCAAGUAAUUACUGAUACGUCCUGUGGAACAGCACAGAGGGACACAUGAAGGAGAUUCAGGCACAGGAGGAAAAAAAAAAGGAAGAAGCUCAGGAGAAGCAGGCUACCACCAGUAGCUGAAUGGGUGGAUCUCCGAAGAGGCCUGAGUCGCUUCAAUGGCUUUUCAGUACAGAUAAGUUACAGUUUUUUCUGCUCUGGCGCAUCCUCUGAAGGCUGAGAUGAAAGACAUGAUUCACUAGACUAAGGUACUGCCCUGUGGAUGAAGACCAGCAGUUCAGCUCCCCUCCCCUCCCUGUGCUGGUGUUUCUGAAGUGCUUUCAUCUUGGAUGAUUUUCUAAGUAAUAGGUUUUGAGUGACCACGACAUAUCCUGAAUCAAGAUGCCAGCCCCUCCUGCACCCCACGCUCCAGAGGCUGGUCUGCUGAAUGAUGGCUGUAUCUGCCCCGAGGACACUGUGAGCCCCACUCCCAGGGUGAGAGGAGAAUGAUGGCAAAAGAAUUUGGUAUAUCCUUGCUCCCACCUUCCUGUUCUUGAAAGCACAGGACAUCUGUGGGAGAAAUAUCUCUGGAAGCCUUGAUGGAGAGUACCAACCAGUCUUCAUGUGAAGACACUCUGCGUUCCUCAGCACUUACCCGUGAUCUGCAUCCUUGACUAAUCAUCUCCUUGCGGAGAUGCCAGUGGAAGUGAUUGAGACAAAGGGGCGUAGCAUCAUCUUGAUGCUGAAGAGCUUUCAGAGGAGGUAAGUGUGUGACUUCCCAGCAGAGCAAGUGGAGAAUAAGCAGCUGAAAAAUCUUUCUUCAUUUCUAAGAAAAACAGGAAUGGCCAGGCCAUUGCCGGGUGCUGACAUGUUUGUAUUGUUUGUGUUGCAUUGUUUUGUAAUCAAAAGUCAGUAUUUAUUGGACUAUACUCUCAAAAGGUCUCAUCUCAAAAUACUCUCAUAUCAGAAUCUGUGAUAAGACUAAAAACCCUGAUGGAAACUUAGCCCCAGCAAUUUUUUUUCUGACAUCAGCUCUUCCGUGCCUUAAAGUAUAACCCCAAAGCCCUGAGCUCUCCACUAAG